GUGCCAGCAGCCGCGGUAAUACGUAGGGGGCAAGCGUUGUCCGGAAUUAUUGGGCGUAAAGCGCUCGCAGGCGGCUCAGCGCGCCGUGCGUGAAAGCCCUCGGCUCAACUGGGGGAGGGCGUGCGGGACGGCUGGGCUGGAGCUCGGUAGGGGGACGUGGAAUUCCCGGUGUAGUGGUGGAAUGCGUAGAGAUCGGGAGGAACACCAGCGGCGAAGGCGGCGUCCUGGACCGAAGCUGACGCUCAGGAGCGAAAGCGUGGGGAGCGAUCCGGAUUAGAUACCCGGGUAGUCCUAGCCCUAAACCAUCAGGACUUGGCGUGGGCCCCGUCCGGGGUCCGUGUCGUAGCCAACGUGAUAAGUCCUGCGCCUGGGGAGUACGGUCGCAAGGCUGAAACUCAAAUGAAUUGACGG
rnacentral:rRNA from 1 species